rnacentral:rRNA from 1 species
CGUAGGGUGCGAGCGUUGUCCGGAUUUAUUGGGCGUAAAGGGCUCGUAGGUGGUUGAUCGCGUCGGAAGUGUAAUCUUGGGGCUUAACCCUGAGCGUGCUUUCGAUACGGGUUGACUUGAGGAAGGUAGGGGAGAAUGGAAUUCCUGGUGGAGCGGUGGAAUGCGCAGAUAUCAGGAGGAACACCAGUGGCGAAGGCGGUUCUCUGGGCCUUUCCUGACGCUGAGGAGCGAAAGCGUGGGGAGCGAAC